CUUUGGCAGCCGCGGUGCUCGGAGCCGGCGCUUUGCUUGCUGUGCACAGUAGACAGAGCAGAGGACCGAGCUUUCCCAGAGCCUGGGUUUCUUCGGUCGCACAGCCUGCUGGUGAAGGCUGCAUGAGAUAAAGACUUAGAUGGAACCCUGUCAUUUGGACCCUGUGAUCUCUGAAUUUGUGUAAAACUUAUCCAAAUAGGAUUGUUUUGCCUCCCUUCCCACUAAUACAAUUGGAGACAUUGAAGUAUUCUAAGGAUUGCUUUGGAUGGGCGUCCUGAAAUUUUAUCUGGGACAAAAAUGGGCAUUUCUGAGCCACGCUAGCACUGAGCUACCUUCAAGCCUUUCCUGAAAGCAUAGGCACCCAAGGCUGCUCGAAGGUCAAGGACUUGGCUGCUGGCUGCAUCAUAAGACCUCUGAAUCUCCGGCCUUUUCCUCCCAUUCUUUGCCAGUGCUCACUACAUUUACAAGGGAGUCUGGAGGACAGGAAUCCCCACGCCCACAGCUGGGCAACAAGGUCAAGGGUGUCAAAAUCCAGGCCCAGAAAAGCGGCAAAACCAGGUGGGCAACACCAGGACCAGCUGCAAUGACUAAGGCGCUGACCAAGCCGUAGAGACCAUGACCCUGAAAGGGCACACCUGGAAAACUGAUGAGUAUUCUGCUGAAACCCUCCCUGCGACCGCCCCUAAGAUUCCCGCCUGCAAGAGACAGGCUGGACACACCCUGGCAGAACCAACCCAUGGGGAUGCUGCUCUUUGAUCUGCCCCUUCACACACUUCUUUCAGAGAUGAUGGCAAUUCGUCUUCACUCCUGAUGCUAUCACCUGGAGUUGGCACAGACUCAUGGGUUAAGGGCACGGUCCCUCAUAAGACUGCUCUCAGUUCAGAUGCCAGGCACAAGUUCAGAGAUGCCCAGGCUACCCACACUUCUGACCAACUGGCUACAAAUUUGGUCAGUUACCUAAGUGCCCGGGUUGAGCGUCCCUGAACACACCUUGCUGUUGUAGACCCUGCACAUGCUGUUCCCUCUGCCUACCUUUGUUUUCUCCUUGGUCUGUCCAGUGAAGUCCCCCUCAUCUGUCAAGACACAGAACGUGUCCUCUGGCCCUCCUUCGCUGUCCUUUCUGGCACCUCACUCCUCAUGCUCUGGCACAGUGGCAGUUCAUCGUUACAGACAUCCCCCUUAGCUUCUGAUGGGUGAGCAAAGCGACCAUCGAAGAUCUUGUGGCUGACAGUCCUGCCCGGCCAUUCGUGCUUUGGCGAACUCGUGGAUAACAUUGCUGAGAUGACACAGCCGCAUUUUCGCAUUUUCAAAGAAUGGUCCAAUGAUGCCUCCAGCCCCAAAAUCCGCACCAAACAAUGACACGUUGUGGAUGCAUUUGUUU